UACGAAGGGUGCAAGCGUUACUCGGAAUUACUGGGCGUAAAGCGUGCGUAGGUGGUUCGUUAAGUCUGAUGUGAAAGCCCUGGGCUCAACCUGGGAAUGGCAUUGGAAACUGGCGACCUAGAGUGCGGUAGAGGGUAGUGGAAUUCCCGGUGUAGCAGUGAAAUGCGUAGAGAUCGGGAGGAACAUCAGUGGCGAAGGCGACUGCCUGGACCAGCACUGACACUGAGGCACGAAAGCGAGGGGAGCAAACAGG
rnacentral:rRNA from 1 species